AGUGUGAAUUGAUGGGUAUUGAAAAUCCCACCAACCCAAAUCAUUUUGUAUUUCUCAUUUGUUUCAGUGUCACAAUCUCUCACUGUAUCCAGAGUAACCCAGUUGAUUUGCACAGAUUCCAUCUUUUGUUAUGUUGAUUUUGUCGCUAAUACUGUGUGGAGAACAUGCUUGUAGUAACCUUAAGAAAAAUGCUUCUGUUUCAUAUUUUACCUGUAAAAUGUUUGGUGCAUUUAAAAUCUGAUAAAUUAUUAUGAAAGUAUUUAAUUAUUUAGAAUUCUCCAUGGUGACGAGAGAAUCAAAAAUGAACAGAUGACCUAAGGAAUUUGAGGAACCGAAGAAUAUAACCACUGAACGCCACAUCAAUCUGAGUCAUCUUUUAAGGUUCCCUUGUAAAGUUUGGGUGUCACCCAUUUUCUGUCAGUGAAGUGUGGAACACUUGAUAUUAUAAACUAAUAUCCUGUGGAGUCACUUUUUUAAAGUCAGUGUAAAGAUGCUGUGUGAGCAUGAUGAGAAGAAUGACAUCACUUUGAAGCUCAGCAGGAUUCAGAGACCUGAAAGGAUUCAAACCAUUGUGGACUAAGAUGAUGUGACCAGACUUCCAUGAAGUGUGCCCCCAAUUUUCAUGGUCCACAGACCCUGACCCUAGAUGUUUUUGAUGACCCCCCUCCCACACCACCCUCAUGUAAAAGCUUGCACGACUAAAGAACAACAGCAGUUUGUAACGCCUCAUGCUUCAAAUGCUUAGUUUCAUCACAGUAUUUGUAUGUGUUCUUAAAGCUUUCUAUUAACACUUGUGGGUUUCAAGGUCUUGUUGUUGAUGUGUUGUCUGCCAAAGUUUUCAUCCUUGUGACUUUUCACGUGUGGUUCCAAAACGAUCGCUGCUGAGAUUCUUAAAGGUGUCACAGUCA